rnacentral:lncRNA from 1 species
CAGAAGUAAGUUGAGUAUCUAUACAGAUGAAGAUAUUCAAAGAUCAACCUUUAGGACUACCAACCAAAUUUUGAAUGCUUCCAAAGGUUGACCCAGUGAAUGCAACACUUCUGCUCCGCCUCCCUUUGUCUUCAUUUUCAAUGUUUAAUAGCUCUUGGAGUUCAGGUAUGUCUACUCUGGGCUUCCCAUUCUUGCUGCUUCAAUUCAGUCCCUAACAGAAUUAGCUGCCCUCCUACCCUUCAAGAGGCAGACCCUCACCCAGUGAGGCCAUCGACUUCCCCAUUCCUGCAAAAGACAAGCAACCCAGGAGCCAUGAGGACAUCUGUGUCUCCAGACCCUCAGCUGUUGUAAAGUUGAACCAAGCCUUUGUCAUGCUAAGGUCCCAUCUUGCUUUGCAUUGCAGGCAGCUGAGAUGCUUCUCUUUGGGAAGAAGCUCACAGCAAGAGAGGCUUGGGCUCAAGGCCUUGUCACUGAAGUUUUCCCUGAAAGCACUUUUGAGACAGAAGUCUGGACCAGGCUGAAAACAUAUGCGAAGCUCCCGCCAAACGUUAGUAUUGGGGUUUUAUUUUGGGGAACCAGGAAAACGAUUUCCAAAGGGGAAAAUGUGCCUCAGGAGGGCACAUCCUAAAGAAAAAAGACCUUAUCUCUAGUUGGCUUAAAGCACAUCUAGAUUUGGGGUUUAAAAUUACUAUUAUGUUGGGAAUUUGAUUUUUUUUCCC